UAAACUCAAAUUUGUAUGGAGUUGGAACGUUCGCCUACGUAUGCCGCUAGGGGCGCUGUUACAACUGCAUACAGAUGUGUUC
rnacentral:pre_miRNA from 1 species